ACGCCCGCCCCUUCCCUCCCAGGUGCCGGGACCUUUAAAACCCGGGCUCCAGGAGCAGCCCGAAGGACGCCUCCCCCAGAACUCGAGAUGCCGGCGGCGGCGUGGUUUCCUCCACCCUCACUCCGCCCCCGACCGCCACCAGGUGGCCUAGCGAACGCCCCUCGCCGCCCCGCUUCAGGAUCCCCAGGCAGACGCAUUCAGCUCGCCGCACCGCCAGUCCCAGCCGCCCAAGUUCGAUGCACACGCCCAAGUCCUCCAGCUCCUGAGGCCGCACGUUUUCUUCCCCGUAAACCCAAGACUUCGUCUUCCACGCGUCCCUGCAUCCUCCCGCCCCGAUUGUCCUUUCUGUUGCAGACCUGGCCUUCCGUCUGUCAUGGCAUGCAACCUUCCGCCGCCCAGUUUUCGUCCUCCCUUGCCUAAGAGCGGACCUUCUACACAUCCAGCUAUUGACAGAGCCUCCCCACAAAAGCCAAGGGCCGGAGACGCCCCUCGAAGCCUGCGGUUACCUGCAGGAGAAGGUACGCUGGCGAUGACCCGGGAACGCCACAGCCCUCACACGCUUAACCCCACAAGCGCACACUCUGGCAAUCCCAGAUGCAAUCCAGCUGUUUCGGCUUCUCACACGGCCUCCGCAGAAACCGAGAGCUGAAACGGCGGCGCUUCCAGGCUUUUGUCCCGACCCAGGCCCGGCCCACUCAGUCCACCUCCCGGAGCUCCGCCCCUGCCCCGCCGCCAAUCGCCGCGCGCUGACCCGCUGACAUGGGCGGGGCCAGGGGCCAGGGGCGGGUCCCGGAAGGCUAGGUCGAAUUCCGCGGCGAAUUCCAAGCGCUCGCGGUGGGGAAGGCCUUGCAGCGGCCUUUGGAGUCGGCCUCCACUCCUCUACGGCGGAAAGACGAGAUUGCCACCUGCAGGCUGGGGAGCAGGGCACGCCUGGGCUGGUCUUCUGAAUCCUCCGCCGCGAAGGGGCCCCCCGGGCUAACAACCUAGAGCCCGGCGGAGUGAGUUUCCACGUCUGCAAUAAAGGCAAACCGGCGACGGCGCGGCUCGGACCGAUCCCCUUCCCUGCGCGCCCCGGCUGUGGGGUAGACUGGAACGCGCUUGGACAGAAGGAAAAGUGCCCUGGGCAAGCGUGACGUCGCUUUGGGGGCUUCGCGCAGCUGGAAUGCAAAGGAUUGAACAGUUGCACAAGCAAGCAUGCUACAAAAGGAUUUAGGGCAACCUUCAAGAUACAUACAGUAUAGCACGACAAAGGACAUUGAAUAUAGGUGAGGAAAAGACAGAAUAAAUACAGGAAAUUGUACAGAACCAAGCUUGGCUUUUCCACUGGAUGCCAUGUGAGGAUUCAUUUAGAACACCAGUCUUCCAGACUCACAGACAUAGGGAACAGACCUGUGGUUGCCGAGGGGGAGCGCAGGUGGGGUUGGAAUGGAUUGGGAAUUUCGGGUUAGCACAUGCCAACUAUCAUGUAUAGAGUGGAUAAACAACCAGGUCCUACUGUAUGUCUCAGGGAACUAUAUUCAAUAUCCUGUGAUAAAACAGAUUAGAAAAGAAUAUAAAAAAGAAUGUAUACACCUGUAUAACUGAAUCACUUUGCUGUACAGUGGACUAUCUUUACUAUCUUUACUGGGCUAUCUAUUCUGUUCAUAUGAUCUCUUGGUCUAAUUUAUACUUUAUUGUAUGUUUAUGAAAUAUUAACAUCACCAGGCUAACUACAAGAGGGGGGAAUUUUUUUGCUUGUCUUUGUUUUUGUUUCUGGAAGGCAUAGACUUGAGCACGUUCACAGGUUAAGGAGGAAGAGUCAUUGGAAAAAGAGAGGUUGAAGAGACGGCACAAACUUCUGCAAUAGGGAAGACACUUUGUACUCUAUUAUGAGUUAAUCACUAAAGAAAUGUUGCCUGUAAGCUUAACUUAUACAUAAUGGCCCAUCUCUGGGAAUCCUGCCUCCCAGGUAAUGAGCAUUAAGCUAAAAUACCUUUGCUUAGCUCAUAGGAAACAUCCUGAACAGGCGGACCUGUGGAUGGCUUCAGGGAGGAUGAAAUUAACACAUCUCGUGUGGACGCUGAGUGGAACCAGGAAAUGUUUGACUUCACUCCCUCCCCUUUUAGUAUAAAAGAAGCCUGAAUUCUAACUCAGGCAAGAUGGUUCUUUGGGGGCACGAGUUCACCAUCUUCUUGGUUUGCUGGCUUUCUGAAUAAAGUCGC